AUUGAACGCUGGCGGCAGGCCUAACACAUGCAAGUCGAGCGGAUGAAGGGUGCUUGCUCCUGGAUUCAGCGGCGGACGGGUGAGUAAUGCCUAGGAAUCUGCCUGGUAGUGGGGGAUAACGUCCGGAAACGGGCGCUAAUACCGCAUACGUCCUGAGGGAGAAAGAGGGGGAUCUUCGGACCUCACGCUAUCAGAUGAGCCUAGGUCGGAUUAGCUAGUUGGUGGGGUAAAGGCCUACCAAGGCGACGAUCCGUAACUGGUCUGAGAGGAUGAUCAGUCACACGGGAACUGAGACACGGUCCAGACUCCUACGGGAGGCAGCAGUGGGGAAUAGUGGACAAUGGGCGAAAGCCUGAUCCAGCCAUGCCGCGUGUGUGAAGAAGGUCUUCGGAUUGUAAAGCACUUUAAGUUGGGAGGAAGGGCAGUAAGUUAAUACCUUGCUGUUUUGACGUUACCAACAGAAUAAGCACCGGCUAACUUCGUG
rnacentral:rRNA from 1 species